UCCGAUUGCUUGUGCGACUGUGUUUUUC
rnacentral:sRNA from 1 species